rnacentral:rRNA from 1 species
AUUGAACGCUGGCGGCAGGCCUAACACAUGCAAGUCGAGCGGAUGAAGGGAGCUUGCUCCUGGAUUCAGCGGCGGACGGGUGGGUAAUGCCUAGGAAUCUGCCUGGUAGUGGGGGAUAACGUCCGGAAACGGGCGCUAAUACCGCAUACGUCCUGAGGGAGAAAGUGGGGGAUCUUCGGACCUCACGCUAUCAGAUGAGCCUAGGUCGGAUUAGCUAGUUGGUGGGGUGAAGGCCUACCAAGGCGACGAUCCGUAACUGGUCUGAGAGGAUGAUCAGUCACACUGGAACUGAGACACGGUCCAGACUCCUACGGGAGGCAGCAGUGGGGAAUAUUGGACAAUGGGCGAAAGCCUGAUCCAGCCAUGCCGCGUGUGUGAAGAAGGUCUUCGGAUUGUAAAGCACUUUAAGUUGGGAGGAAGGGCAGUAAGUUAAUACCUUGCUGUUUUGACGUUACCAACAGAAUAAGCACCGGCUAACUUCGUG